rnacentral:rRNA from 1 species
UACGAAGGGGGCGAGCGUUGUUCGGAUUUACUGGGCGUAAAGGGCGCGCAGGCGGCCAUUCAAGUCAGGCGUGAAAGCCCCGGGCUUAACCUGGGAGGUGCGUCUGGGACUGGGUGGCUGGAGAUCGGGAGAGGAGAGUGGAAUUCCCAGUGUAGAGGUGAAAUUCGUAGAUAUUGGGAAGAACACCGGUGGCGAAGGCGGCGUUCUGGACGGCAUCUGACACUGAGAAACGAAAGCCAGGGGAGCAAACGGG